rnacentral:rRNA from 1 species
CUCCGGUACCUUUAGGGGGUGCGGCGCGUGGUGGUGGUUGAGAGCGGGCGCCGCGGCGAGGCGGUGGUUACCGGCGGCGGCGGCGGCGCCGCCGGUGCUCCUUCCUGCCGCGGCUGCGGGCGGGCGUGGGCGUAGCGGAGGCCAGCGGGUGGUCCCAGCGGCGCCUGAAGCGGUACCCGCCGCGCCGCCGCCACCACCGGUUCUGCCCCCGCCGCGGCCACCUCGCGCAGUUCGACGACGACGUCUUGGUCCGGCUCUACGACGCGGCCCCGCGGGAGUACGCCGGGAUGGCGCCCUAGCGGCUGCGGAAGCGGGCGCAGGAGGCGCUCCUCCCGCGGCGGCGCGAGACCGCACCCUUGGUCCGCUUGCAGUAGGCCAUGAAGGGGUGGGUCCGGACGUUGAAACGUAAGUUUCCGAUGAAGUUCUCGAAGAAGCCGAUACUGUUCCUCUUUCUGCCCUUUACCUUUACCGAUCGACCUUUACAUCGUACACCGUCACGACGUCCUCGGUGUUGUAGUAGGGACGAUAUGGUAGACCUAAUACGUGCCUGCGCCGAUCGGUGACUGCGCUAACUUAGGGCUCGAUUGUUUGCAGUCAAGUCCCCCAACGAUCUACAGAUGUUCUUCUGUGAAAGUUGACUACCGUAAGCACCUAACAUGGCUCCGAAGUCACACAGAUAACACCCAUAGUGAGAUAUAGCCCCAGAAAUAAAACCGUAGAUGCUGUGGUACUUUGGAUAACAUGAUCAUCCCGGUGACCUCCCUUUAAAGGACCGGUCAAAACGGAACCCUACCUGUUAUUGAUGUAAGAGGCCCCGGACGCGGAUGGGUAAACUAUGUGAGGCUGCUUCUUACUACAAUUGAAGUCCCGUCGGUAAGUUUAUGUCCUCACGGAAGGUACGGCAUUUUGUCUAUCAAAGGUGGCUUCCCAAGAAGUGAGAUAAGUCUCCCCAGCCACGUUUAUAGGAGAGCCCUUACCGUCCUCGACCUCAAGAACGACCCAUACUGGUCGAGGUUGCCAAACGUCCGGUCGUACUAAUGUUUUAACUCUUGUUCUACUUUCCCCGUAACUUUACUACACGUAUACUACCUAGACGUACACGGACCCUUCUAGGAACCCAAAAGUCCAACGCGCGACCGGUCUACCCUACACAACACACUCGAUGUUAAUGGCUCGAGUGUCUCGUCUUGAACUUUACGGACGUUCUCAAUUAUCCUUACUUAACUAGUCGUGUCGUUGUAAAGGACCUCCACUUAAAAGGGUCCUGUUCUCUACCGUAGUCCCACGUUAUCUACUAAGCAAAGAUAUGUUUCAAAACUUAUGGUAUUGCUGAUCUAGAAUAAGAACUUCACAUUUAAUUAUACCAAAGCUUUCGACUACAGGGGUACAUGUGAUAAUUACAUUUGACAUUUAUCAUGACAUUUCUUAUUUCUCAAAUCCCGGAGAAACCAAGUUUCCUUAAAGCAUGGAACAUAAUCCAAACUAGGUAAAUAGGUAUGAACCUUGUAAUCAAACGACAGUGUGGAAACGACGUAAAAGACAUUAUUGAUUCUGACUGUAUUCGGUAACAACAGCAACAACACCAAAAAAUCCCAUGUAACACCAUAAAAAACUAACUAGUCCGCAGUUCUGAGAGGAGCGGGCCGGAACAACUAGCGAAUCUUCCGGGUUGAUUACUACUAAACAUCCGAAGGCGACUCUGACCUUAUUUAGACUCUUCACGAGAUCGACGACACUGGACUACCAACAGGCAUGUCCGUCACCGGUUCACCUCGAUCGUCCUACGGUGAUACUCCGUUUCACCGUUUGUCUUAUCUGAUCCACUCAACGACUUGGGUUUUUUGUACCCACCCACCGGACCCGAAGUUUCUGGAACUUCUAUCUAAGUUGUAGUACUACCAUCGUGGACUUUGUACCCACCCAACGAAUAUCUUAGCGACACGACGGGAGUUUAAGAGUACCUGUCUAUGACAACCUUAAGACCACAAGUCGUUCGACUUCGUUUCAUUCCUUAAAGUAACGGACUUCUUCGUAGGACGUACCUUAGACCAUCUACGUACUGGUGGCUGUCCACUGUCUUGAGUGAUGUAUUAGAAACUUGUUCCUAUGUUAAGCGAGCGGUGUCCAUAGGGGUUCAGUUCCUCCGAGAGUUAAACAUAACAGUAAAAACCUCAACUCCUCUACAAAAUGAUGUUCUGACAUGUCUCCUUUUUUUACCACUACAUGCCACAAACAACAUCCUACCACUCACUAGACUAAAUCAUCCCAGGACCUCCGUUGUUACGUGUACAAAACGUCUCAAUUACACCAACAAAUCCGUCUUUAUGUUAUGUUCUUACCUAGACCUUUGACCUUUCUUAAUAGGUGUGGGACGUCGGCUUUUCAUGAUAGCCAAAUGUGCCGUUAUUCCAACAGUGAGUGUCCAACGAAGAUCGGGACGUGUUUAAAGAAGUCUAUCAAUCCUAAGGGUGAUUUCUAAUUUUUAGGAACGACCACGGAUGAAUCUGUUUUGCUUUACUCCCCUAUAUUACCACUCUUUAUACAAAACAAAACAAACAGGGAACCCACAUCUGUGACUAGGGGAGAAGAAAUGAGACGGGGUACCGUUCGUCUAUACAUACAUACAUCAACUAUGUCAUACGUAAACUAAAAUCGACAUGAGACCAACUAUGUCUAGGUUGACGCUAAAGAUAAAAGAUAAAUACUAUCUCGUUCCAUACACUAAA